UUCUUGGUCAUUUAGAGGAAGUAAAAGUCGUAACAAGGUUUCCGUAGGUGAACCUGCGGAAGGAUCAUUAAAGAAAUUUAAUAAUUUUGAAAAUGGAUUUUUUUGUUUUGGCAAGAGCAUGAGAGCUUUUACUGGGCAAGAAGACAAGAGAUGGAGAGUCCAGCCGGGCCUGCGCUUAAGUGCGCGGUCGUGCUAGGCUUGUAAGUUUCUUUCUUGCUAUUCCAAACGGUGAGAGAUUUCUGUGCUUUUGUUAUAGGACAAUUAAAACCGUUUCAAUACAACACACUGUGGAGUUUUCAUAUCUUUGCAACUUUUUCUUUGGGCAUUCGAGCAAUCGGGGCCCAUAGGUAACAAACACAAACAAUUUUAUCUAUUCAUUAAUUUUUGUCAAAAACAAGAAUUUUCGUAACUGGAAAUUUUAAAAUAUUAAAAACUUUCAACAACGGAUCUCUUGGUUCUCGCAUCGAUGAAGAACGCAGCGAAAUGCGAUACGUAAUGUGAAUUGCAGAAUUCCGUGAAUCAUCGAAUCUUUGAACGCACAUUGCGCCCCUUGGUAUUCCAGGGGGCAUGCCUGUUUGAGCGUCAUUUCCUUCUCAAACAUUCUGUUUGGUAGUGAGUGAUACUCUUUGGAGUUAACUUGAAAUUGCUGGCCUUUUCAUUGGAUGUUUUUUUUCCAAAGAGAGGUUUCUCUGCGUGCUUGAGGUAUAAUGCAAGUACGGUCGUUUUAGGUUUUACCAACUGCGGCUAAUCUUUUUUUAUACUGAGCGUAUUGGAACGUUAUCGAUAAGAAGAGAGCGUCUAGGCGAACAAUGUUCUUAAAGUUUGACCUCAAAUCAGGUAGGAGUACCCGCUGAACUUAAGCAUAUCAAUAAGCGGAGGAA
rnacentral:rRNA from 1 species